AGAGUUUGAUCUUGGCUCAGGAUGAACGCUAGCGGCAGGCUUAACACAUGCAAGUCGAGGAGCAGCAUGUCCAGCAAUGGAUGAUGGCGACCGGCGGAAGGGUGCGUAACGCGUGAGCAACAUGCCCUAUACAGGGAGAUACACCAGGGAAACUUGGUCUAAUAUCCCAUAGCAUUCAUUGAAGGCAUCUUUAAUGAAUUAAAGCUUCGGUGGUAUAGGAUUGGCUCGCGUGACAUUAGCCAGAUGGUGAGGUAACGGCUCACCAUAGCAAUGAUGUCUAGGGGUUUUGAGAGGAAGGCCCCCCACACUGGGACUGAGACACGGCCCAGACUCAUACGGGAGGCAGCAGUGAGGAAUAUUGGACAAUGGAUGGAAAUCUGAUCCAGCCAUGCCGCGUGCAGGAAGACGGCCUUAUGGGUUGUAAACUGCUUUUAUACGGGAGCAAUAAGGGUUACGAGUAAUCCGAUGAGAGUACUGUAUGAAUAAGGAUCGGCUAACUCCGUGCCAGCAGCCGCGGUAAUACGGAGGAUCCGAGCGUUAUCCGGAAUUAUUGGGUUUAAAGGGUGCGUAGGCGGCCAUUUAAGUCAGCGGUGAAAUUUUGCAGCUUAACUGUAACAGUGCCGUUGAUACUGUUUGGCUAGGAUUUGGUUGUAGUGUGCGGAAUGUGUGGUGUAGCGGUGAAAUGCUUAGAUAUCACACAGAACACCGAUUGCGAAGGCAGCACACUAAGUCAUUAUUGACGCUGAGGCACGAAAGUGUGGGGAUCAAACAGGAUUAGAUACCCUGGUAGUCCACACUGUAAACGAUGAUAACUCGCUGUCGGCGAUACACAGUCGGGGCCAAG
rnacentral:rRNA from 1 species